AGGCUUCCUGGUAGCCUGGUUUCCCCUAGAAAUUAUCUUUGCAUGCUGCUAUAUUUGACUGAGGUCGUGAUUUCUCUGACAAUGGGAUUCUGUGCCCAGACACCCCAAACCCUCUUCUACACGACUAAUAUUUCUGUCUUGGUUUUCUUCACCCUUAAACUUGCACAGCUUCCAGACACUUCGUCUAGGACACCCCAGCUUGAUUUUCUUUUGCAACACAGUACAGGAUUCAAACAAGCACAUAUUGCUAAUUUUAACCUGUUUUUUAUUAAAAUUUUUAAAUGAUAUCUGGAACAAAAUGGAAUUUCAGAGCUUCAAGACAGUUUUACUCAUCAGUUUGGCCACAAUACAGACCUUUUGCUUGAUAUUUAGAAUGAUUCAUAUGAAUAAAGGUGUCCAAGGUGUUUUUUUUUAAAUGUUUUUUUUUAUUACGUAUUUUCCUCAAUUACAUUUCCAAUGCUAUCCCAAAAGUCCCCCAUACCUUUGUUUUUUAAUCACUGGUUCAGGUGAAGGGUACCACCCACCGUUCCUUACCAUACCUGGAUUAUUUACCUGUUGUGAUAAGACACAAAAAUAGCUAAACCCCAGUAACUGAUAAGGAAAAUGAAGUUUAGUUUUAUAGGAAGAAAGCCAAAGAUUGGGUAGCUUUAUCUGUUUGGUUUCUGAAGCAGAUUCUCUGGUUACCUCACAGUGUGUGGGUAAUAUCAUGGUAGACGUGUGCUAGAGACCGCACAAUCUCACAGUAAGAAUAUCACGGUAGACGUGUGCUACAGAUCACACAAUCUCACAGUAAGAAGGGAAGUAGCAAGGACUUCGGAAUGUCUUCUUGAUUUUUUUUUUUCUAAACUGUGAUCUUCAUUAUAGUGCUAAAUUGUCAUGUGAUGUUUAAGCCCUCUCUUGUCUCUUCCAAACCACGCCCCCCUCAGCUUCCUACCCCAAUCCUGGUUCAGAGUAAUCCCAUAGCUCUGUAACAGCAAGAGAGACAUACAGCAAACAGUUAAAGACAUUGAGUGCACCGUGUCCUUGAGAAGAGAACAAACCAUUUCCAACACAGGUUGCUGCUGUUGACCUUAUGGUGUAAAAACGGCUGUCAGGCAGCUAGAAGCUUGUCCAUGGAAGGGGGGCUCAGUAGGGACUUCCCGGGUCCUGCCUUGACUACCCCUGCCAUUUCUACUCGACAUUUAUAAGCUCCUGAUUUGGUGACUGGAACCUCUGCUCUUUCAAUCAGGCUAUUCCUGCCCUCUCUGCUGGAUGCUGUCAGCUGCUUUGAGGAUGGUCUGCUGUCUGUUUCUUCUAUUUAUCAGCUAAUUGAUAUUUGUUCUUCUAUUUGGUUAGCUGUCAAUAAGCUCCCUCAUUAAAAAUUUCAAAGUAAGACAAUCUUAGAUCAUCCUCAAAACUGUACAGAACGCUCACAGGGGCUAGCUGGGCUUCUAUGAGAAGUUCAUCCAUGCUUUCUCAGGCCAACACUCCAGUGAGCUAUCCACUUUGCACUGAGCUGCUCCUCCUUACAGUGAUAGAAUCGCUUACUACCACAAACCGGGAGCCACACCUUUAACAUAUCUUGAAACACGUUCAAAACAUACGUAAACUACAGCAAUGCCAAUUUCUAUAUUUGUCUCACAAAUUGCAAAAAUUAAAUCCCUUCCAAGGCAGUGAAUACAGCGUGCCAAAAAUGCAGAACUAGUUGUUCUUUUUAUAUCAGAGAAAGAUGAAAAUUAUUGUGUUUGGAGGCUAUCUCUCUGUCACAGUAAAGACAUAAAACAAAGCUAUAUUGUAUGGGAGAAUUCCAAUAGUAAAAUAUAAAAUGCCUGGACAUAUUCCGUUUUUAAAUAAAUAUUAAAUUGAUUGAAAAACUCUGUAUGUAUGUGUACCACAUGCAUGCUCACAUAGUUCAGAGGCUAGAAGACAGCACAUGAUCCCCUAGAACUAGAGUCAUAGAUGGUUGUAAGCCACUGUGUGGAUGAUGGGAACAAGUAUCCAUAACUGCUGGGAUGUUUCUCCAGACAUCAUAUUAAUUUUUUUAAUAGGUGUCUCAGUUACAUGAAACCAGUGACUUUAUAUGAAUUUCUAGGUGAGUAGGAUGGGUUUUUAAAUCUCACAGGACCCAUCCUGCUGCAGUCAGUCAUCAGUGCAUGAGAAGUUCCCAUUGAUAACAGACACAUCAGGGCUGGCCUGUUCGAAGCUUGGCGCUCUGGGAGCUUAAUGGGCAUGUUCCAGCAAGAAAAUGGGACUUAACACUACUAGGUAAUUCAUGAAAGAACCGUGUUGCUCUUUUGAGAUAAAUUUGCAUGGAUUGUUUUCUUUUUCUUUCCUAGAAUUUACAUUUUAAUUCAUACAUACAUACAUACAUAUAUGCAUGUGUGUAUGUAUGUGUAUGCAUAUGUAUAUAUGUAUAUGAAUAAUAUAUAUACAUAAACAUACCCACAUAUAUAUGAGACUCUAAUUUUAUUUUUCACUAGAAAAUUCUCUAAUUUUCACAUUGAAUUCUUCAAUUCCUAACACCUGAAAAAUAAAAAAGUUAUUUGCAAGAAACAAGAGAAUUGCAAAUUGAGUGUGUGUGUGUGUGUGUGUGUGUGUGUGUGUGUGUGUGUGUGUAUUUAUAGUGUCAGGGAUCAAAGCCACAGAUUUGUAUAUGCUAACUAAGUAUUCUACCACUGAGUUAAAUCUCUGACUGUAGCUUAAAUUUAGUUUAAAUUUAAAUUUAGCUUAAAAUUUAGGGCUGGAUACCAUCCAAAAUACAAUAACACUUUAAAUUGGGCCUCAGAGUCAAACAGAUAUUUGUACUGGGUGAGUAAUUAGGUAAAUAUAUUAUCUUAGGACACUGAUUGAUUUUGUUUAAAUUCCUUAUGGAGUUUUUGUUUGGUUGGUUUUUGUUUUUGUUUUUUUUUAAAUUUGUACUUUGUUCUCAUCCUGGGUCCUCCGUUAUUGCUUUUAAUUCAUCCUGUUCAUACUACGCUGAAACAAGUUUCAAUGUGGACGGGCUGGAAGCUGGAAAACAGGUUAGAACAGACACAAUAGCUGACAUGAUUCAUGUCAUUAGGACAACAUGCCCUUUGGAAUGUUUACUUAAAGAAAAAAAUAAACCAAUCCUAACCCUUGAGAGACUUUAGGCGCCAGGGAGUGGGGAGGAGUGGCUUGAUGAGGGGAUGGGAGUUAGGGACAUCCUCUUGGAGAAAAGAGGGAGGAGAAUGGGGUGAGGAACUGUGGGAGAGUGGACCAGGAGGAGGGUAAUGACUGGACUG
rnacentral:lncRNA from 1 species